UGUAUGGUUAAGUGACUAAGCGUACACGGUGGAUGCCUGGGCAGUCAGAGGCGAUGAAGGACGUACUAACUUGCGAUAAGCGCAGAUAAGGCAGUAAGAGCCGUUUGAGUCUGCGAUUUCCGAAUGGGGAAACCCAACUGCAUAAGCAGUUACUGUUAACUGAAUACAUAGGUUAACAGAGCAAACCGGGGGAACUGAAACAUCUAAGUACCCCGAGGAGAAGAAAUCAACCGAGAUUCCGGUAGUAGCGGCGAGCGAACCUGGAUUAGCCCUUAAGCACUCGGUGAAGUAGGUGAACAAGCUGGAAAGCUUGGCGAUACAGGGUGAUAGCCCCGUAACCGACGCUUCAUCGAGCGUGAAAUCGAGUAGGGCGGGACACGUGAUAUCCUGUCUGAAUAUGGGGGGACCAUCCUCCAAGGCUAAAUACUCCUGACUGACCGAUAGUGAACCAGUACCGUGAGGGAAAGGCGAAAAGAACCCCUGUGAGGGGAGUGAAAUAGAACCUGAAACCGUGUACGUACAAGCAGUAGGAGCACCUUCGUGGUGUGACUGCGUACCUUUUGUAUAAUGGGUCAGCGACUUAUAUUCAGUGGCAAGGUUAACCGUAUAGGGGAGCCGUAGCGAAAGCGAGUCUUAACUGGGCGCUCAGUCUCUGG
rnacentral:rRNA from 1 species